UACGUAGGUGGCAAGCGUUGUUCGGAUUUACUGGGCGUAAAGGGCGGGUAGGCGGCCACCGCAAGUCAGUUGUGAAAUCUCCGGGCUUAACCCGGAAAGGUCAACUGAUACUGCGGGGCUAGAGUGCAGAAGGGGCAACUGGAAUUCUCGGUGUAGCGGUGAAAUGCGUAGAUAUCGAGAGGAACACCUGCGGCGAAGGCGGGUUGCUGGGCUGACACUGACGCUGAACUGCGAAAGCUAGGGGAGCGAACGGG
rnacentral:rRNA from 1 species